GAUGAACGCUGACAGAAUGCUUAACACAUCAGCAAUGGCUUGGUGGCGGACGGGUGAGUAACGCGUAAAGAACUUGCCUCACAGGUAGGGACAACAUUUGGCAACGAAUGCUAAUACCUACUACUGUGAGAGAGCUUUGCGUCCCAUUCGCUAGUUGGAGAGGUAACGGCUCACCAAGGCGAGGAUGGGUAGCCGGCCUGAGAGGGUGAGCGGCAACAAGGGGACUGAGACACGGCCAUUACGCCGACUGGAGGCAGCAGUGGGGAAUAUGGGACAAUGGACCAAAGUGUGAUCCAGCAAUUCGGUGUGCACGAGGAAGUUUUCGGAAUGUAAAGUGCUUUCAGUUGGGAAGCGGUACCAACAGAAGAAGUGACGGCUAAAUACGUGCCAGCAGCCGCGGUAAUAC
rnacentral:rRNA from 1 species